rnacentral:rRNA from 1 species
GACGAACGCUGGCGGCGUGCUUAACACAUGCAAGUCGAACGGAAAGGCCUCUUUCGGGGGGUACUCGAGUGGCGAACGGGUGAGUAACACGUGAGUAACCUGCCCUUGACUUUGGGAUAACUUCAGGAAACUGGGGCUAAUACCGGAUAGGAGCUCCUGCUGCAUGGUGGGGGUUGGAAAGUUUCGGCGGUUGGGGGUGGACUCGCGGCUUAUCAGCUUGUUGGUGGGGUAGUGGCUUACCAAGGCUUUGGCGGGUAGCCGGCCUGAGUGGGUGACCGGCCACAUUGGGACUGAGAUACGGCCCAGACUCCUACGGGAGGCAGCAGUGGGGAAUAUUGCACAAUGGGUGGAAGCCUGAUGCAGCAACGCCGUGUGCGGGAUGACGGCCUUCGGGUUGUAAACCGCUUUCGCUCAUGACGAAGCUUUGUGUGACGGUAGUGGGUAAAGAAGCACCGGCUAACUACGUG